ACGCGUAGGGAACCUGCCCGAGUAGUGGGGGAUAGCCCGGUGAAAACCGGAUUAAUACCGCAUACGCUCUACGGAGGAAAGGGGGUCUUUGGCUCUCGCUAUUGGAUGGGGCCUGCCGUGAGAUUAGCUAGUUGGUGAGGUAAUGGCUCGACCAAGGCGACGAUCUCUAGCUGGUCUGAGAGGAUGGAUCAGCCACACUGGGACUUGAGACACGGCCCAGACUCCUACGGGAGGCAGCAGUGGGGAAUAUUGCACGAAUGGGGGAAACCCUGAUGCAGCCAUGCCGCGUGUGUGAAGAAG
rnacentral:rRNA from 1 species